UGGGGAAUAUUGCACAAUGGGCGNAAGCCUGAUGCAGCAACGCCGCGUGAGGGAUGACGGCCUUCGGGUUGUAAACCUCUUUUAGCAGGGAAGAAGCGAAAGUGACGGUACCUGCAGAAAAAGCGCCGGCUAACUACGUG
rnacentral:rRNA from 1 species